GGAUGUGGCUCACUGGUAGAGUACUGGUCUGUCAUGUGUGAGGCCCUGGGUUCCAUCCCCAGCACCA
rnacentral:tRNA from 1 species